CUCUUUCCCUACGCUACGCUCUUCUGAUCUGUACAUUCCUUUUAUUUUUAAAUUAUUUUUAUUUUUUUUAGUACAUUCCUUUUAGAUGGAUAGUAGUUCUGAGGUAUGGACU